AGGGGCUUCAUGGGAUUUGUAGUCUCUCUGGCGGGGCGCUCGGGCGUGCCCAGCGCGGACAGUCCAAGCGACCCCAGCAGAUAAAAGAUGUCUGGGUGGGGUGACCGGGUGGAGUAGGCGGUGCCGCCGGAGCUGGGAAGGGAGGCUCCGUUUCGAACUCUGCUCUCGUCGCGCCGCCGGAAUGGAACUCCGUUGUUUCUUUGUGUGCGGAAUCUGUCUCGCAGUUCCCACAUCUCUUCCGCCGGGACCCUGAGUGGAGAUGCUCGUUUUCCUCGGGGCUGCCGGGACGCAGCCUGCGAUUCUGGGCCGGGCCAGAGCCAAAGUCUACGCCUCCCGGAGAGCAUGGGCCACGCAGGCCGCUCCCUGCGCCCUGCAAAUCCGAGAAGGCUCGUGCCACACAUCUGCGCCCUGCAAAAUUUCGGGCCUCGUGUCCUGAGAAUUUAGAGGAUAAGACUUUGUUUCCGUCUGGGCUCCGUCUCCUAGCUGCUGUGACAAGGCACGCGGGCUGCACGGCGGCAAGGUGUAUUGAAAACAUGCUACUUUGGAGGUGUGCAGAGAACAUUAAAUGAGAUCCUGAAAAAAAGUGAAAGCACUUUGUUCCGUUCAUCCCCCAUCACUCAUUGGUGACAAAUGACGAGGGAAUACUGUUAUAUGCGACUCAACUCUUUAUUGCACAUCGUCUGACUCAUUCCUCCGUUUUAUGAAUCCACUACUGAGUCCUCUUUAAUUCGCUCGUGGUAGAAACCCCUCCUGGAAAGGGGAGUUUACUGGUGCAGGUAAUGUGGAAGAGAGAAGCUAGGGAGGCCCGGCCUGGGAGCUGCAUCCCGGAGGGGCUUCCUCACUCUCCUGCCACCUUAGUUUUAAUUUCUAAAAGGGGUGUGGGCGCUGUUGGUAGGGGGUUAAAGCUGGGGCCUGCAGCACCUGCAUCCCAUAUGGGCGCAGGUUUGAGUCCUGGCUGCUCCACUUCUAAUCCAGCUCCCCGCUGAUGCGCCUGGGAAAGCAGUGGAAGAUGGCCCAGGUCCUUGGGCCCCUGCACCCACGUGGGAGACCUGGAAGAAGCUGCUGGCUCCUGGCUUUGGAUAGGUCCAGCUCCGGCCAUUGUGGCCAUUUGGGGAGUGAACCUGCUGAUGGAAGACCUCUUUCUCUACCCCUCUCUGUAACUCUGUCUUUCAAAUAAAUAAAAAAUAAAUAUUUUGUUUAAAA